UACGUAGGUUCCGAGCGUUGUCCGGAUUUAUUGGGCGUAAAGCGAGCGCAGGCGGUUAGAUAAGUCUGAAGUUAAAGGCUGUGGCUUAACCAUAGUACGCUUUGGAAACUGUUUAACUUGAGUGCAAGAGGGGAGAGUGGAAUUCCAUGUGUAGCGGUGAAAUGCGUAGAUAUAUGGAGGAACACCGGUGGCGAAACCGGCUCUCUGGCUUGUAACUGACGCUGAGGCUCGAAAGCUCGGGGAGCAAACA
rnacentral:rRNA from 1 species